UACGUAGGGUGCGAGCGUUAAUCGGAAUUACUGGGCGUAAAGCGUGCGCAGGCGGUUCUCCAAGUCCGUUGUGAAAGCCCCGGGCUCAACCUGGGAAUGGCAGUGGAAACUAGGGGACUGGAAUCUGGCAGAGGGGGGUGGAAUGCCGCGUGUAGCAGUGAAAUGCGUAGAUAUCGAGAGGAACACCAGUGGCGAAGGCGAGUCCCUGGACAACUCCUGACACUGAGGCACGAAAGCUAGGGGAGCAAACAGG
rnacentral:rRNA from 1 species